AUCUCAUUGCAGACCCCUGUGUAUCUGAGGCCUUCUGCGGGAGGCUAUAUGCUGCAGACGUCUGUGUUUGCUAUGAAGGCUUUUUCUUGACAUUGGAACCUUACACUUCAGGCUCCAACUCUCCUCAGCAGACCCUUUGGUGUGGUGCUCAGCUGCAGGACAGCCCUUGAGUCAUUCCUCUCAAGGAAUUAAGGAGGUCUUCAACGUUGCAUAGUAUGCAGCCAAAUGAAUGAAGGCCUUCCUUACCUUCUGCCUUAUUUUCUUUAUGUAGCUGGUCCGUAGUGUGAUUGAGGAGUGUUCCACAUGUCUGUGGGAAACUACCCCUCCACAUUCAGGCUGGAUGUGGCAGCCUGGUCCUAGUGGUUGGCGACCCUGCCCACAGCAGCGGGUUGGAACUGGAUGAUCUCUGAGGUCUGACACCCAAACCAGUAUGCCAUGCCAUCUAUAUCCUUGUCGGUGUGGCUAGAACACAAGGUGCUGGUGUUCCUCCGGCCCACUCCUCUCUCAGGUUUGUUCCAGUUCUUCAAGUAGUGGACAUGUUCUUCUCGGUCUCUGCUUUUAUUUAAUUUGGGCAGAGCCUGUAUAAGCCUGAACAGAUGGCUGAAAACAGUGAGGGGAAGAUUACAAAAUGUGCCUUGCGCUUGGACUCAAUUAAACCUAUCAGCUUUGGGGUUUUUUUUGCCCCCAUUGCAACAAAGAUUCCAUGUGUUGUGGAGGUGUGUUAGCAGAGGCAUCCAGCCAAGUCACUGGUGAUGCUACAGACCCUGCGGACAACUUCAGAGGGAGACAAGUCCCUUCAUAGGGGAGAUAAGCCAACUGGAACUGGACUUUUUCAGGUCUGUAUUUUUGAGGUUUGUAUUUUACAGUAGGUAUUUCUACAUAUUCUACAGUUACUAGCAGUAGUUUCACUGAGGUAAAGCAAGGACUGUAUUUCCCCAAUGAAUCCUUCUAAGUAUUAUGUAACAAAGUAAGAUCUCUUGUACAGAGAAUAUUUCUUCAAACUCUUGCAUGUAGUGACAACUUGCCAUCGCUUUCAAUGGUUAUAGAAAGUUCUGGCUUCCAAGAAAUUCUGGAGGUGCGAUGGGAAUUCUACAGCAGAAGCCUUUCACCAUUUUUGAGAAUUUACUAAUUGGAAGAUGUGUCAAAAAAAAAUUACCUUAAAAUACUGAACAUUCCAAACCUUUAUUUUUAGGGAGAUGUAGCACUGCCUUUUUAUCUCAAAUGGGAUGAGUUAUAUAAUGCUUUGAAAUGGUGUAGCAGUUUGCAGUGAUGUCCAUGGUCUCACUCUGAAGAUUGCCAGUUCAUAGAGAAGGUUUAUCUUGCACACCCAGUAGUUAUGCAUUUUUGCCACCAUAUAAAUGAUGGUGAAAAGUGUACUCCAAAGGGCCUGCUUAUCCUAUGAGAGAUCAGUAAGUAAUGGCUUAAUGUAUGUUAUAUUAUGUUGAUAGGCCAUAAAAUGAUAAGUUAUUCUAAACAUUUAAGUCUAGCUAACUGUAAAGGGAAAAGGCUGAAGUUAAAUUCAUAUCAGAUACAAUGUGGUAAUGAUUUCUGGGGAUGGACAGAUUGUCCUAUGUUCAGUAAAUUACUUGCUCAGUCUUUUCUGGAUAUUGUUUAUUUGUUGACUUGCCUACCAAGGGAUUGAUGUAUGAUGUCAGUCACAUGCUAUUGUGGUUUAACCCUAGCAGGCAGCUCAGUCUCACACAAACACUUGGUCUUUCUCUCCAGGUGGGAUGGGGGGAGAAAAUUGGAAAGGUAAAAGGGUGAGAACUGAUGGAUUGAAAUAAGGACCAUUCAAUAGGUAAAGCUAAAUACAUAGUCUUUGUUGUGAACUAGUAGUAUUAGUAUACGUUUUUAAAAACUCAUGCUUGAGAGCUGUAGUACUCAUUGACAAUAUUUUGAGCAGGUUAAUUGUCUUUUGCUCUGAGUUCAUAAAAUACUAACUGUGUUGUGGUUCUGAGUCAUCACUGCAGUUGGACCAAAGCCAUUUUAUGUAUUGUCAUUAUAUUAAAAGAACCUCUAAACUCAGAAAUCACAAAACCAUUAAACUGCCUUUU
ensembl:lncRNA